UGUGUAGGCGGCCGAUUAAGUCAACGAUGAAAUCCCGAAGCUCAACUUCGGAAUGGUCUUUGACACUGAUCGGCUUGAGGCUGGUUGAGGAGAGCGGAAUUCCCGGUGGAGCGGUGAAAUGCGUAGAUAUCGGGAGGAACACCAGAGGCGAAGGCGGUUCUCUAAACUUGUCCUGACGCUGAGACACGAAAGCUAGGGAGCAAACG
rnacentral:rRNA from 1 species